rnacentral:rRNA from 1 species
GAUGAACGCUGGCGGCGUGCCUAAUACAUGCAAGUCGAGCGAACGGACGAGAAGCUUGCUUCUCUGAUGUUAGCGGCGGACGGGUGAGUAACACGUGUAUAACCUACCUAUAAGUCUGGGAUAACUUCGGGACACCGGCGCUUAUACCGGAUAAUAUUUUGAUCCGCAUGGUUCAAAAGUGAAAUACGGUCUUGCUGUCACUUAUCGAUGGAUCCGCGCUGCAUUAGCUAGUUGGUAAGGUAACGGCUUAUCAAGGCAACGAUGCAUAGCCGACCUGAGAGGGUGAUCGGCGACACUGGAGGUGAAACAGGGUCAAGAGUACUGCGGGAGGCAGCAGUAGGGAAUCUGCCGCAGUGGGCGGAAGCCUGACGGAGCAACGCCGCGUGAGUGAUGAAGGUCUUCGGAUCGUAAAACUCUGUUAUUAGGGAAGAACAUAUGUGUAAGGAACUGUGCACAGCGUGACGGUACCUAAUCAGAAAGCCACGGCUAACUACGUG